rnacentral:snRNA from 1 species
UUACUCUAGUUUCUCUUCAUAUCGCAUAAAUCUUUCGCCUUUUACUAAAGAUUUCCGUGGAGAGAAACAACUCUUGAGUUUUAAGCCAAUUUUUUGGAGGUCUUGCAUUUUAGCAAGGCU